rnacentral:rRNA from 2 species
GGAUUAAGAGCUUGCUCUUAUGAAGUUAGCGGCGGACGGGUGAGUAACACGUGGGUAACCUGCCCAUAAGACUGGGAUAACUCCGGGAAACCGGGGCUAAUACCGGAUAACAUUUUGAACCGCAUGGUUCGAAAUUGAAAGGCGGCUUCGGCUGUCACUUAUGGAUGGACCCGCGUCGCAUUAGCUAGUUGGUGAGGUAACGGCUCACCAAGGCAACGAUGCGUAGCCGACCUGAGAGGGUGAUCGGCCACACUGGGACUGAGACACGGCCCAGACUCCUACGGGAGGCAGCAGUAGGGAAUCUUCCGCAAUGGACGAAAGUCUGACGGAGCAACGCCGCGUGAGUGAUGAAGGCUUUCGGGUCGUAAAACUCUGUUGUUAGGGAAGAACAAGUGCUAGUUGAAUAAGCUGGCACCUUGACGGUACCUAACCAGAAAGCCACGGCUAACUACGUGCCAGCAGCCGCGGUAAUACGUAGGUGGCAAGCGUUAUCCGGAAUUAUUGGGCGUAAAGCGCGCGCAGGUGGUUUCUUAAGUCUGAUGUGAAAGCCCACGGCUCAACCGUG